rnacentral:rRNA from 1 species
UACGAGGUAGAUAGGCAUGAGGUGUAAGCACAGUAAUGUGUUGAGCUGACAUGUACUAAUAGGUCAAGGGCUUAACCAA